CAAAAGUAAUUGUGGUUUUUGUCAUUGGAAGUGAUGGCAAAAACUGCAAUUACUUUUGCGCCAACCUAAU
rnacentral:miRNA from 1 species